rnacentral:rRNA from 1 species
CACGGAGUUGGCCGGAGCUUCCUCCAGCGGUACAGUCAAUCUCGCCACCUAUUUGGCUGCAAGACUUUCGUCCCGCUAGACAGGAGUUUACAACCGCUAGGGCCUUCAUCCUCCACGCGGCGUUGCUUCGUCAGGCUUUCGCCCAUUGCGAAAAAUUCCCCA